CUUUCAAUGCUUUCAGCAUGUACUGAAAGUAAGAAAAAUGAAACUGAUGAAAUUAUGUUGAUUGCAUUAAUGUCACCUCCUCAAUUCUGGUCUUCAAUGAUAGAGAAAAGCCAUAACUGAUAUCAGCUAAGAGAAGUAGAAAGGCAGGAGUAGACCAGAAUUCAUUAUUUGAUAGACUUCAUGUAUAUCCAGGAUUAUUUUUCUUUAAAAAAUGCUAUCUUUUUCUUCCUUUUGUGAUGGAGUCAGAAAAAUAUAUUGCAAUAGCGACAUAUAUCAUUUAACUUUUUUUUCUGAUAAAAGAUUCUACUGAAGUUAUAGCUACCAAAAAGUUGUAAUUCCCCUCAUCUUGCAUUCAGAGAAACUUUGUUCAGAUAUUACUGAUACACUGGGGGAAGUGCGUGGGUCUAUUAAGUCCAAAGCAGCAUCAUAUUAUGAAGACAAGCCAGAAUUUAUUAAUGAUUAGCACACAAUAUGAAAUCCAUCUUAUUGACCUUAAAUAUCUAGAUGAUUGAAAUGAAAUCCAAUUUAUUUGCUAAAUCACGAGAUUGAUUGUCUUAUGGCAAUAUUUUGUCUGUGUACCGUAAGCCUAGCAUUUCUGAUCAUUUAUUUAAAAAAAUUAGCACAUAAAUAUACUGUCAAGUUUUUUUUUUUGUCAAUAGCCCACUCAUCUUGAUAUAUUUCCACAAUGUCAUGAGCACAGGUGUGCUGUAAAUUUAGAUGACAUCUUUGAAAAAUUCUAAUUACAACAGGAAAUAACCAACAUUUACAAAAGUGGCUCAUCUGCGGAUGUUUGGCCUUGUAAUUAUUGGCAAGAAGUACAAUGUUUAAGUUAUGCCACUUUUUAUUUCAGUAGGUCUAUUCUUGCCUGCAUUUUCUAGGAAAACAAUUACUUUGGAGAGAGGCAGAUCUGGUUUAAAGUCAGCUUCAUUACUUACCAUCCCUAUAACCUUGGGCAUCCCAUUCAAUCUCUUUGGGGCUUUCUAUAAAAUGUUGAUAAUAACGCCAUUUGAAGAUUGAUGAUAAUGUAUAUAUUUUGUCUGCAACGGUGUAUGUGAUCAAUAAAUGGUAGCUAUUAUUUCUGCAAAAAAUAUCAAAUCAAUGAUGGGAUAUAGGAUUAAAAAUCAGGCAACAAGGACUGAGUGAAUAGCUCAUUUUGAGACAAUAAAGAAAAUGUCAUUUAGGGUACAAACACCCAUCUUCUCUGCCAAUGAUGUUCUGGUCUUCUGGGUUCUUUACACUGAGAAACACUAUAAUUGUAGCUAUCUAGGUUAGGAGGUGGCUUUAUUUAUAGGGACCUUCUUUCACUGUGGGUCUACUUAAUGGUCUUUGAGAGUAUUCUGCUAUGAUCAAAAGAGAAAUGAAACACCAAGUAAUAACCAUAUCGAACCAUUUUUUCUUAAAAAUACCCAACAGACCCACCAAAAAAUAGGAAAUCUCCCUUAAACUCUAAAGCUCUUCCUGUUAUGAUGCUAAAUAGUGUAUACAUCAAAAUUUACUUAUACAUUAGUUUAAAUAGUUUCUAGCUAUUUUGGUUGUGUACAUUUGUAUCAUCAGGUUGUGAAAUGUACUUUGGAGCUGGAGUCCUGUCUCCAUUUUACUCCAGGCAUUCA